rnacentral:snoRNA from 1 species
CAGUAUAUCUGAAAGUGACCUUGGGCUGCCUGUGCCUCGGCCAUUGGUAGCGCAUGGAGGAGAAUGUUAAAGGACAUUUUCCUCGUGCUUAGCGGGGCUCUUCAUUGCUUCCAAAUUGUCUAGCUUUCCCACA